GUUGGGUCAGAGAAAUCAAAGCGGUGCACAUCUGAGAAAUAUCAGAGAGGGGGGACGCAUAGAUUAGCGCUCACGGGUUGUAUCGCUAAUUAAAGUAUAAGAGGGGAAAUGGUGCUGGGCUGCUCUCUGGGGACAGGCUGCUAUCAAGUGAUUGGCUUCAGGUAAUCAAUAGGCUCCCUGGGCUGUGGGAGUCACAAGGAGGGAUUUUCACUUUUUGAAUUUUGACUUAAAAUAAAUUUGGCUUGCAGAGGAGAGUGAAACAUAUAUAUAUAUUAGAGAUGGCACGAUACCACUUUUUUAUGUCUGAUACCGAUACCGAUAUCAUAAAUUUGGAUAUCUGCCGAUACCGAUAUGAAUCCGAUAUAAUGUUUUUUAAUCAACAAAACUGUUUUUUUUUAAAUAUCUUGCUGCAUUUUGUACAAGUUCAUACUCAAGUUUAAAACAACAACUACACUAAAGCUAUUCUGUUAUACCUAUAUGCAAAAAAAAAAAAAAUUCAUAGUUCAGCAAUACUGAUCAAUCUAAUAAACUUAAACCUACACCAUCCUCCCUAUUCUGGUAUUUUAAAGGGUACCUAGCGUAAAUAUUAAGCAACCUAACUAAUAGGGUUCCAACUCCCAGCAACAACAAAAAUAAAUAAAUAAAAAAUAGGGAACCACCCCUCACGCUCCACCUCAUGAUGCUUAAUCAACGUAAUCAACCUUAAUUUGAUGCAGUGUGAAAAAAAAAUGCACAGAAAUCAAUUAUUUUUCAAGAAAUAUUAAAUAGAUUCAACAUCUUUCUUCAACAAAAUUGCAGACUGCACAGAUGGUACCUUCCCAAAGGAAAAAGUACUAUAGCUUACUAGGGUAUAUUAGACUUAAUAGUCACUAUAUACAGUAAUUGACUUCUAUUCAUUUUACAUCAAAUUAAAACUUUGGGUGUAAGAUUCGGAUAAUUAUUUAUUAAAAGCUAGACAUUUUAAAUGAGAAUAAGAAAGAAAAGUAUGUCUUUGUGCCCCCUUUUCCCUGUUAAUGCCCUAUCGGCCCCCCUGGCUAAACUUUGCUAGAUCCGCCCCUGCACAGUUACCAGCCGUCAGCUACGUAGAAAAAGAUCCUCGAGUAGAAAGUAAUAUUAAAUAAAUUCUAACAACAGCUGAUCAAGCUUAAACGUGCUGCUGUUGUUCAGCCGAUGGUUUCCUCUUUCUGGUGCAAAGUGAGCCAAAAAC
ensembl:lncRNA